GGGAAACCUAAUGCUGAGUUAUGCUAAAGACGCUUAGGAUAUUAAUAUUCCUCUUCCAACAGUUCCAGCAGCCAAUUUUUAUGUUCGAACUCUGGUGGAAUAUUAAAAUACCUCUCCCCCAACUCCCAACAAAUUUUUGAAAAUAAAAACCUAGAAGUCCUAGCUGCAGCAAGAAUUUGACUGUAACCUCUUCAAUAUAACAGAGACAUAUGGCCCUUCAGUCAAAGUUUAUUCAUCCAAACGCUUGUGAAAAAUAAUAUCAUAAUGGGAACUC
rnacentral:misc_RNA from 1 species